CAGUCGCCACGGGAAUACAGAGGGUGCGAGCGUUAAUCGGAUUUACUGGGCGUAAAGCGUGCGUAGGCGGCUUCUUAAGUCGGAUGUGAAAUCCCUGAGCUUAACCUGGGAACUGCAUUUGAAACUGUCAGGCUGGAGUCUUGUAGAGGGGGGUAGAAUUCCAGGUGUAGCGGUGAAAUGCGUAGAGAUCUGGAGGAAUACCGGUGGCGAAGGCGGCCCCCUGGACAAAGACUGACGCUCAGGUGCGAAAGCGUGGGGAGCAAACAGGAUUAGAUACCCCGGUAGUCCCUGUCUCUUAUAC
rnacentral:rRNA from 1 species